rnacentral:rRNA from 1 species
GUGCACCAGUCGAGAAACUUUACAAUGUGCGAAAGCACGAUAAGGGAACUCUGAGUGCCUCCUAAGGAGGCUGUUCUGAUGUCUAAAAGCAACAGAAGUAAGGGCUGGGUAAGACCGGUGCCAGCCGCCGCGGUAACACCGGCAGCCCAAGUGGUAGCCACGUUUAUUGGGUCUAAAGCGUUCGUAGCCGGCCAGGUAAGUUCCUUGGUAAAUUUAGCCGCUUAACGGUUAAGCUUUCUAGGGAAGUAACUGCUUGGCUUGGGACGUGGGAGGAGGUC